AGGAGGGCUGAGUCGUGGUCAGAAGAUGCUGAAACGAAACAGUCUCACAAAGUGGUUAACAAAAGAAAACAAAAGAAGAAGUGCUCAAGAGUAUGCCAGCAUCCAAGACACCUUUGACAGAAAACUUGACCAAAUGAAAACUCUGGGGAGCUUUAGGAAUAGAGCAAACAAAUAACAGAGGGUUUGCAGAAUUUCAAACAUUGGUACAAGAUAAUAUAUGACACGAGAACAAACUCCACUGCGACAACCACAAGGUACAUUUCUGGAAAAAAAAAAAA